UACGGGGGGGGCAAGCGUUGUUCGGAUUUACUGGGCGUAAAGGGCCCGUAGGCGGCCAACUAAGUCGGAUGUGAAAUCCCCAGGCUUAACCUGGGAACUGCAUCCGAUACUGGAUGGCUUGAAUUCGGGAGAGGGAUGCAGAAUUCCAGGUGUAGCGGUGAAAUGCGUAGAUAUCUGGAGGAAUACCGGUGGCGAAGGCGGCAUCCUGGACCGACAUUGACGCUGAACGGCGAAAGCUAGGGGAGCAAACGGG
rnacentral:rRNA from 1 species